rnacentral:lncRNA from 1 species
CCUCAGUUCCCGUUACAACUUGGAGAAGAAGGACUCAAUUGCUUGGGGGAUCAACCAUGAAAGGAACGCUAUUGACCAAUAUCGUAAACUUGUGGCUAAGGUUGAAUAAACAGGCAUAUGGCUUCACGAAUCAGGAAUUCUCGGCGCUUCCCAGAUGGAAUUGUGGUAACCCCAAUUCCACAGUCUGCAACACCACCACCAGACAUCAUCGAAGUUAAGUGUCCAUUUUCUGCCAGAGACAAGCCACCGUUGGAUGCCAUUGGUCAAAAGAAUUUUUGCUUAGUCAGAACUGAUGGGAGAAUUACUUUGCCAAAUGACCAUGAAUACUACCAUCAGAUCCAAGGCCAACUGUACAUCAUGGGGAAGACAUGCUGUGACCUCCUCAUUUGGACACCCCGUGGACUUCUCAUACACAGAAUAUACCGGGAUCCAGAAUGGGCUUCAAAUAUCUCAAAGCUGAUAGAUUUCUUUUAUGACAAGUACUUUCCAACCAUAUUGUCUUAGUGUGGGUAGCUAGCCAACAGAAGACCAAGUGACUGCAGAGGAUAUGAAGAAGGAUCAAGGCUAUCCUGAAACAAGGUAUCAGCACCCCAAGGAUCGGCUCUGGAUCACCAGUAGACUGUUCACCACAACAUAAACAGCAACACGAAGCUGAGUAUUCAACUUGUUUCCAUCAUGUUACAUAUAUCUUAUAGUAAUAUGAAGCUUUUGUGUCGUUUGUAAUUGAAGUAUGUUUAAGAGUUUCAUGAAAAUAUAAUCUAAUUCUUUUUUUUUUAUCCAAAUAUUUUUUUA